CACCGGGUCAGAAUCAUCAGUAUCACUGUCUUUCACCUCCUUAUCUUGUCUCACUGGAAGGUCUUCAGGGGCAAUAACAUGCAUGGAGCUGUCAUCUCCUAUGCUAACAAUGCCUUCUUCUGGAAUAUCCCUGAAUGACCUGCCUGAGACUGUUUUAAGAUUAACUUAAAAAAAUAAGUAGAAGGUGUCUACUCUAAAAUAAUGAUGAGAUGUGUAGUAUAGUAAAUACAUAAACCAGUAACAUAGUCAUUUAGUAUCAUCAAAUGAUAUGGCUUGGCUGUGACCCACCCAAAAUCUCAUCUUGAAUUGUAAUAAUCACCACAUGUCAAGGGUGGGACCAGGUGGAGAUAAUUGAAUCAUGGGUCAGUUUCCCCCAUUCUGUUCUCGUGAUAGUGAGUGAGUUCUUAGAAGAUCUGAUGGUUUUAUAAGGGGCUUCCCCCUUGGCUUGGCUGUUAUUCUCUGAUUCUUUCUCCUGCCACCCUGUGAAGAGGCGCCUUCUGCCAUGAUUAGUCCUCAGAAGGGAAGAUAGUGUUAAUGUAGAAUUGAUAACACAGAAUGCACCACUGCUGUGAUCCUUAUAUCUUGGCUGGCCAUUACCCCUCCACUUGGAAAUGAAAAAGAUAAACUAAUUGAAGCAGUGAGAAGAGAAAAAGGGAGAGGAAGGUGCUAUUGUGGAGGUGCAUACCCAACAGUUUGAUAAUGUAGAGGAAGUGAUAGCUUUGUCUCGUGGAAUCUGGGUCGACCUCACAGAGGAGCUGUUAUUUGUUCUGGAUAUUGAACAGUGACAAGGAUUCAGUGGGAGAGAAAGAGGCGAGGCAACAACAAACAUGUGCUGUGGAGAUGCUAUGAGCAAGGUGAUGGCAGAGAUAAUGGACAUAAAAGAUGAAGAAGACGUGGGGUCCUUUUUCAAUGAGUUGAAGUCUAGCAGAGAAGAGAUGCAUAUAAGAAUAAUGGAAAACUUGUAACAGGUCAAGAGAUUGAAUUGUGAGCUGACAGAGAAAGUGAUGACAUAGUCCAAAAAUGAAAAAGUGUGGGAAAAGAGUAGUUUUUAAGAGGAAGAUCAAGUUUUAGAUGUGUUGAUUUUAAUGUGAAGUGAAAUAUCCUAAUGCAGAUUCUCUGAAAGCAGUUGAUUGAUGAAAGACUGGAAUUUAAGUAGAAGUAAUGAUCAGAAUUAAUGUACAGCUUUAAUAGAAAAUUUUUCCUCAAAGGCAAUUUUGUAGAAGCUCUUGAUAUGAUAAUUUUAAAACAGAAUAGCCCUACACCACGAUUUAUUGGAACUUUGAAUAGAACCCAUCAUAGGGUGGAAAGAGCAUGGAUUUUGGAAUCAGGAUUAGCUAAGUUUAAACUCCAAACAUUGCUUACUAGUAUUUGAUCUUAGAGCUUCAAUUUCAUCUGUCAGAUGGGAUUCUAUUACUAAGUAAUUAAUGUUAUUCUGUGGUUUAUAUAACAUGUGAGUUAAAAUGCCUGACACAUAGAAAGAACUUACAGGUAUUAAUCCUCUUCCUUUUUAUUGACCUUAGGUUUGUUUUGGAAGCAAAUACCACAUUGAAAAUUCAUUUUAAGUUCUUUGAGAAAUCUCCAAACUUCUUUCCACAGUGUCUGAACUAAUUUACAAUCCCCCAAUAGUGUAUAACCCAUGUAACAAACCUGCACAUGUACCCCCUACAUCUAAAAUAAAAGUUGAAGAAAAAACCCAAAAAA
rnacentral:lncRNA from 1 species